AUUGAACGCUGGCGGCAGGCCUAACACAUGCAAGUCGAACGAGUGGCGGACGGGUGAGUAAUGUCUGGGCAACUGCCUGAUGGCGGGGGAUAACUACUGGAAACGGUAGCUAAUACCGCCUACCAUCGGAUGUGCCCAGCUGGGAUUAGCUAGUAGGUGGGGUAAAGGCUCACCAAGGCGACGAUCCCUAGCUGGGCUGAGAGGAGGACCAGCCACACUGGAACUGAGACACGGUCCAGACUCCUACGGAAGGCAGCAGUGGGGAAUAUUGCACAAGGGGCGCAAGCCGGAUGCAGCAAUGCCGCGUGUAUGAAGAAGGCCUUCGGGUGGUAAAGUACUUUCAGCGGGGAGGCGUUACCCGCAGAAGAAGCACCGGCUAACUCCGUGCCAGCAGCCGCGGUAAUUC
rnacentral:rRNA from 1 species